rnacentral:rRNA from 1 species
AGUGAACGCUGGCGGUAGGCCUAACACAUGCAAGUCGAACGGCAGCACAGUAAGAGCUUGCUCUUACGGGUGGCGAGUGGCGGACGGGUGAGGAAUACAUCGGAAUCUACUUUUUCGUGGGGGAUAACGUAGGGAAACUUACGCUAAUACAGCAUACGACCUACGGGUGAAAGCAGGGGAUCUUCGGACCUUGCGCGAUUGAAUGAGCCGAUGUCGUAUUAGCUAGUUGGCGGGGUAAAGGCCCACCAAGGCGGCGAUCCGUAGCUGGUCUGAGAGGAUGGUCGGCCACCCUGGAACUGAGACACGGACCAGACUCCUACGGGAGGGAGCAGUGGGGAAUAUUGGACAAUGGGCGCAAGCCUGAUCCAGCCAUACCGCGUGGGUGAAGGAGGCCUUCGGGUUGGAAAGCCCUUUUGUUGGGAAAGAAAAGCAGCAGGUUAAUACCCCGCUGUUCUGACGGUACCCAAAGAAUAAGCACCGGCUAACUUCGUG